rnacentral:sRNA from 1 species
AGAGGGGGAAGUUCUGGAGGUUGGAAAGAGGACUGGAAUCUGAUUGGGGUUCCAACAAAUCUGUAACACCGCUGGGAACGACUGGGUCCCCUUUAGGUCCUUUAGGACAGCGUUUGAAAUCUUGCUUUCCCCUGCAGGGAUCCAGCACCGGCUCCUCCUCCGGCAACCACGGUGGGAGCGGCGGAGGAAAUGGACAUAAACCCGGGAAUUUUAAAUCCAAGCUGGGUUUCAUUAACUGGGAUGCCAUAAACAAGAACCAGGUCCCGCCCCCCAGCACCCGAGCCCUCCUCUACUUCAGCCGACUCUGGGAGGAUUUCAAACAGAACACUCCUUUCCUCAACUGGAAAGCAAUUAUUGAGGGUGCAGACGCAUCAUCACUGCAGAAACGUGCAGGCAGAGCCG